ACGGGUGAGUAAUGUCUGGGGAUCUGCCCGAUAGAGGGGGAUAACCACUGGAAACGGUGGCUAAUACCGCAUAACGUCGCAAGACCAAAGAGGGGGACCUUCGGGCCUCUCACUAUCGGAUGAACCCAGAUGGGAUUAGCUAGUAGGCGGGGUAAUGGCCCACCUAGGCGACGAUCCCUAGCUGGUCUGAGAGGAUGACCAGCCACACUGGAACUGAGACACGGUCCAGACUCCUACGGGAGGCAGCAGUGGGGAAUAUUGCACAAUGGGCGCAAGCCUGAUGCAGCCAUGCCGCGUGUAUGAAGAAGGCCUUCGGGUUGUAAAGUACUUUCAGCGGGGAGGAAGGCGAUGCGGUUAAUAACCGCGUCGAUUGACGUUACCCGCAGAAGAAGCACCGGCUAACUCCGUGCCAGCAGCCGCGGUAAUACGGAGGGUGCAAGCGUUAAUCGGAAUUACUGGGCGUAAAGCGCACGCAGGCGGUCUGUUAAGUCAGAUGUGAAAUCCCCGGGCUUAACCUGGGAACUGCAUUUGAAACUGGCAGGCUUGAGUCUUGUAGAGGGGGGUAGAAUUCCAGGUGUAGCGGU
rnacentral:rRNA from 1 species